GGCUGGUCCGAUGGCAGUGGGUUAUCAGAACUUAUUAGUGUCACUAAAGUUGGUAUACCCCCCCCCCACUGCUAAAUUUGACUGGCUUUUA
ensembl:misc_RNA Y_RNA Y RNA